rnacentral:rRNA from 1 species
GGAGGGUGCAAGCGUUGUUCGGAAUUAUUGGGCGUAAAGAGCGUGUAGGCGGUCCGGUAAGUCAGAUGUGAAAGCCCUGGGCUCAACCCAGGAAGUGCAUUUGAAACUACCAGACUUGAGUACGGGAGAGGAGGGGGGAAUUCCCGGUGUAGAGGUGAAAUUCGUAGAUAUCGGGAGGAAUACCAGUGGCGAAGGCGCCCUCUGGACCGAUACUGACGCUGAGACGCGAAAGCGUGGGGAGCAAACAGGAUUAGAUACCCUGGCAGUCCACGCCGUAAACGAUGAGCACUAGGUGUAGCGGGUAUUGACCCCCUGCUGUGCCGUAGCUGACGCAUUAAGUGCUCCGCCUGGGGACUACGGUCGCAAGACUA